UAUCGGUCCCCUCGCAACGAUACAUUGUGAACCCCGUCAGGCCCGGAAGGGAGCAGCGGCAGCAAUGGACUCGUGUGCCGGGGUGUGGCUGGUGCAG
rnacentral:SRP_RNA from 1 species